UAGCUUUUGAUGAUUGCUAAUAAAUGUUGGAAUUACCGGCUGAUGUGGUAAACCCACUCUCUGAUGUAAAUUCACCUGGCUUUCUGAAGCUUGAA